rnacentral:rRNA from 1 species
UAGGGAAUCUUCGGCAAUGGGGGCAACCCUGACCGAGCAACGCCGCGUGAGUGAAGAAGGUUUUCGGAUCGUAAAGCUCUGUUGUAAGAGAAGAACGUGUGUGAGAGUGGAAAGUUCACACAGUGACGAUAACUUACCAGAAAGGGACGGCUAACUACGUGCCAGCAGCCGCGGUAAUACGUAGGUCCCGAGCGUUGUCCGGAUUUAUUGGGCGUAAAGCGAGCGCAGGCGGUUUAAUAAGUCUGAAGUUAAAGGCAGUGGCUUAACCAUUGUUCGCUUUGGAAACUGUUAAACUUGAGUGCAGAAGGGGAGAGUGGAAUUCCAUGUGUAGCGGUGAAAUGCGUAGAUAUAUGGAGGAACACCGGUGGCGAAAGCGGCUCUCUGGUCUGUAACUGACGCUGAGGCUCGAAAGCGUGGGGAGCAAACAGG